CAGCAGCCGCGGGAAUACGUAGGGUGCAAGCGUUAAUCGGAAUUACUGGGCGUAAAGCGUGCGCAGGCGGUUAUAUAAGACAGAUGUGAAAUCCCCGGGCUCAACCUGGGAACUGCAUUUGUGACUGUAUAGCUAGAGUACGGCAGAGGGGGAUGGAAUUCCGCGUGUAGCAGUGAAAUGCGUAGAUAUGCGGAGGAACACCGAUGGCGAAGGCAAUCCCCUGGGCCUGUACUGACGCUCAUGCACGAAAGCGUGGGGAGCAAACAGGAUUUGAUACCCGCGUAGUCCCUGUCUCUUAUAA
rnacentral:rRNA from 1 species